rnacentral:misc_RNA from 1 species
UUCUGCAUGGUGAAUGCCUUUUAAGGAGUGAACCUAUUUUUUUUCCUAGAUUUGCUUGGCUUUUGAACAAAAUCUAUCCCAAACCUGUAGACCAUCCCUUUAAAUCUUGGAGCAAGAGAAGAGUGACUGUAUUCUAAUUGAGAGCACAUUACAAGAAAGAAAGGACCUGUGCAAAUAUGAACUGAAGGUUUAAUACAAGCCAAGGCAUGGUCGCCUGUUCUUUACUUAAGGACAUAAACUAUAUAAAGCUAUUGGUGAAAGAAUGUUUGUGUAUGCACAUGUGGGUGUGAAUGUGGUUCAUGCUGAUAACCCAAGUAGAUGGAUUAGUUUUUUUGGUCUAGUUCCUGUGCAAUUUGCUGCUCCCUUUUGUGAUGAAUCCAUCAAUAAAAGCAACUUAUUGUAGAUUUGUAGUAGAACUGCAGUAGAUGAGGUGAUGCUUUGGAG